rnacentral:sRNA from 1 species
CCGUUUCGAUUUGCUGCGGGCAAAUAAAAUGAAUAUGCGUAUCGAUUCCACCCGCAGUAAUAAGCUUCCCUUCUCCGGCAAUGACCUCUGUGGAAGCGCCUACGAUGAGCUCAGGAUGAACGCCCUCCAUCGUAUCUGGGUUGCCCGCCUUACCAAUAGCGAUGAUUUUCCCAUCCUUAAUGCCAAUAUCACCCUUCACAAUACCGACGUAAUCAAUAAUGACGGCAUUGGUAAUGACCGUAUCGAGCACAUUCUCAUCCCGAGUACGAAAGGCUGACUGCCCCAUGCCAUCCCGCAG